AUUGAACGCUGGCGGCGUGCUUUACACAUGCAAGUCGGACGAGUGGCGAACGGGUGAGUAACGCAUCGGAACGUACCGAGUAAUGGGGGAUAACUACCAGAAAGGAAAGCUAAUAACGCAUAUUAUUCGAGCGGACGCUGUCUGAGUAGCUGGUUGGCGGGGUAAAGGCUCACAAAGGCCACGAUCAGUAGAGGGUCUGAGAGGAUGAACGUCCACACUGGGACUGAGACACGGCACAUAUUACUACGGGAGGCAGCAUUGGGGAAUUUUGGCCAAUGGGCGCAAGCCGGAUCCAGCCAUGCCGCGUGUCUGAAGAAGGCCUUCGGGUUGUAAAGGACUUUUGUCAGGGAAGCGGUACCUGAAGAAUAAGCACCGGCUAACUACGUGCCAGCCGCCGCGGUAAUUC
rnacentral:rRNA from 1 species